CCUCCUCUUGUUGGCGGGGUUCGGGCGUGCGGUCCCAGUUCCCGUAAUGAACGGAGGCAGAGAGCCCCGGCCCCCUGGGCGUCAUGCCUUCCAUGCUGAUGAUUUCCAGUCCACUGGUUCUAUCCCCAAGCGCCAGGACAUGG
rfam:Myotis davidii contig110510, whole genome shotgun sequence.